UACAGAGGGUGCGAGCGUUAAUCGGAACUACUGGGCGUAAAGCGUGCGUAGACGGUUAUUUAAGUCGGGUGUGAAAGCCCCGGGCUCAACCUGGGAAUUGCAUUCGAGACUGAGUAGCUAGGGUACGGUAGAGGGAAGUGGAAUUUCCGGUGUAGCGGUGAAAUGCGUAGAUAUCGGAAGGAACACCUGUGGCGAAGGCGGCCCCCUGAUUGGAUACUGACGCUGAUACGCGAAAGCGUGGGGAGCAAACAGG
rnacentral:rRNA from 1 species